CCUAGCUUCAUCUAAUUCACAAGGAAAACUAUAAAGAUUCAAGGAAAUUGAAUGCAUAAUCAGGAAAUUGCAAGCUCUUAACUUGUCCAUUGAAAGGGCGUAAAGGAAGAGGGCUCAGGUUCUAAGAAGUCGGAAAGCUCACAAGACAAAGGUAAAUCCUCAUCUUAGACUAUUUGGCGAGUUGAAGCGAGCACGUGAUCACCACUUAACAUAUCAAGCGCUUCCGCUAGUUGCUUUAAUGUUUUGGGUCAAAUAAUUGUGAAGAUUUGUCUAAACUUGCUAGUAGAUGUAUUGGUCAAAAUUUAUGUUUUCUUUGGAUUUUCAUUGCGUCUAGUCGUAAGGGUCAUGGAAUAUUUUGUAUGAAAGUUGUAUGAAA